AGCAGAACAUGAUCAGUUCGCUUAUUUAACGAACAGAGGUAAGUGGUCAUGACAAUGUUGAAAAAUAUGUGUACACAACAUUUUAAUUUUGUUUUGAAUGUUUUAUGUGUUUUGAUUAGCUCAUGUCAGUUCAUAGACAUAAUGAUGUCAUAUGAUCGCGGCGUCAUCAAUGUUUCUUUCAUGAUUUACUCCUUAAAAAUGAAAUCUUUGAAAUAACAGUAAAUAGAUGUAUCGAAAAAUAUGUGUAUGAACCUUG
rnacentral:lncRNA from 1 species